AGGAGCCAGUCCGGGAUCCCACCUGAAAGGUAGCCAUCGUGUCUCCUGGCCCAUGAUGGUUCCUCACGUUUCCCGUGACUUCGACCAUCUCAGCGAAUCCUGGCCAGAAUCGAGCAAGCUGCCUGCCUUGUCAUUCCCGUCCUCUGAGGGGAGAGAGACGGUCCCUCGCUGGAGCCAAGGAGAGAGAGCAGCGAGCGGGUUCCUGACUCCGAGCCCCGUUUGUCCUCGUGCUGUGAAGCAUAAGCAUUUGUCAGGUUAGGUGAAGCCCCUGUGCCCGACCGCGAGCCACGGUGCUGUGAAGGAUUGUCUGAGUCUAGGUUCCUAAUGCAAACUGCAACAUCGGAAUUGAAACGUGCUUGAUGGAAUUAAAACAUUAGUAUUGGCUUUCAGUUCUUGCCUCCCUGGCUCCCGUAACAAAUGUAGGGCAUCUUAAAAAUAAAAGCCAACAAACCAAGAGAAAACAGCCAGACGCCUUUGCAAGACAGAGGAGGCACAAAACCUCUCUGCGAGACUUGAGAGUUGAUCUGCCCCAGUGUGAACUCUGGCACCUGUUUAUUCUCUAACUUGGACAUGUACUUUUCAUUUCUUUUAAGUAGAAUGUUUUUAUUUUUACCACGGGUAUGGGGAGACACUGUGACAUGUCGAUAAAUGAAAUAAUCCCGAUUACCACGUUAAGCCACAUGUCGGGAAUUUUAGAAGGAAAAUGCCGUUAAGAAACCCAGUGUAUAUAUGUUUACCCUCGUGUCAAUGUUUAAACAUGUGUAUACACCGGGUCUCUCCAAAGUGGGGUUCGGUGACUGAUCUCUUUCAAGAAAGUUCAUGGGGCAUUUAAUCAGAGUUGGCCUCCUAUUGUCUGUGGACUGGGCGUGGUCCCUGGCAUCUGGUCCUUUACCAGAUAGGUUUGGUAUUCAUCAAAAUGGCGGAACCAACAUGUGUGGUUCUCCACCCCUGGAGGAUGUUCAGGCUUAUCUUUAAUCCCAAAUCUUGGAACUCUAAGUAAACUGGGACAAGCAUGCCUUUUAAGCCCCAGUGAACCCAGAUCCAGUGCCUUAAUUCUAGUUCCACGAGGCUUGAGGACAUCUAUGUUUGGGUUACCACCCUGACGCUCACCAAGGGGCAGGACACUUGGACCAAGGGAGCAAAAUGCCCCAAAGGGCCCCGUCUGGGCUCCAGACAUUUCCAUUCACUUAUGCUCAUGACGUUUCCAGCAAUCUCAAUGGAAAGCUAAGAAAGCCAUGGCAAACUUCUCUAAGGGGUUUCUUUCUCCCCGCCAUCUCGAAACCUGGCUCUUCAGACAUCUGUCUGGUGGGGAGCCACGAUUCCCCAGUCUCCAUUCCUGCUAAAUCUCAGUUGGUCCUUAGCCCCGGGAGAGUGAGAAGGUAAACGGGGGAGGUUCAGGAACCAGUGGGGACACUCAUCAGGCCCUAGUCGGUCCACCCAGCCCACAGUUAGGGAAGGAAACCUCCAGCACUCGCUCAGCCUCCACGUCCCGUGAGUCCUGGGCUGGCUUGGGGAUGGCUUAUGCUGGUGUAACCCCAAGGUUUUGGACUCCCCUUCAUGUCACAAGCAGGCUGCUCCUCCAAGGAGCUGAAGAACUGAGCUUCUAGAUCUGCCUUUUUAGUCCAUAAGAUUUCCUUGGCCUCACACACUCGUUCACUCCAGGCUCUGGACCCCCGGGUUUCUGGGAUGGUGUCUCACACCCCAGCCCUCUCUCUCCUGAGUUUGUUUCCAGGGCGUUGCAGAGUGAGGCCCUUGACUCUGCCCUGCUUCUGUUCUGAAGAGCUCGGGGUAAUUUCUGGCUAUUUUCCCAGAGGUGUGGUGGUGCGGGCUCCCUGGUUUGGCCCCUGUGGCCGGCACACCCCGCUUUGGGUUGAGACUGAGCGGCUUGGCCCACGGAGCUCGGGAUGUUGUCCUGGGGUCUGAAACUUUCCUGAGACUUGGGCCUGUCUAGGCGAGGUGAAUCUAUGACUCUCCAGACACGUUUUGAGUGAAUUGGUUUCAGCUUUCACAAAAUGCUAAUGUUGAUAUUGUUUACGUCUGGCUGCAUUGUUUUUCACUUUAAAAUUACAGCUUUAGUACAUUAAGCUAAUUUCAUAAUACUGUAUUAACUUAAUAUUCCAUAAAUCACACAUGUCAGAUUGCAUUGUUACGGAUGCACAAAACCCAAAUUUACUACUCAAGCUCUCCAAACACAUGUAUUCAUAAUUUGCUCCAGCGAGCCCUGUGCUGCCAUAUAGGGUUAAGGAAUUACACGUUCCAAUGCCAGGCACAGAUCAUGCCUCUCUCUCUCUCUCUCUCUCUCUCUCUGCAAUUGUUCUCCAUACAAAUUGAAACAAUAUAUUUCCAGCCAUUUUCAUAGUUGUAAUUACUAGCAAAAAUCGUAAUACCGCGAACAUAUUUUAAACACCUGCACUUUUGGUCCAACUCAUUUUUUUUUUUUUUUCUUUCUUUUAAGCUGAGUGUUUCCAUUUGAAUAAGGUUGAGAAAGCUCACUGGUGGUAGCAAUCUCUGGGUAUGUUUUCUCCUGGAGGAAGAUUAUGACUUUUGACUUGGAAGGGAGAGGUAGAGAGAAAAUGGCAGAAGGAGUUCGGGCGGCACCCUCUCUCUCCAUUCAUUCCCCUCUUUGCUCUCUCUCUUCCUCUUCCCCUUGGGGAAAGGGAUUUAAUUGCAGCGAGACUGGCUUUCACGCGUGCUGCCCGGCCCUCUUGCAAGGGUGCAAAGUUCUGUGCCUAAGCCUGGCUGGCUGGUUCCGGGAACAAAGGGAUGCUCUCUGUGGGGGACAUGGUGCUGGGCUGGGGCACAGAGGAGCCUCUGUAGGUUUUUAACCACACACUGUCUAAUCGGGCUCUGACAAGCCCAUUGUAAAUCAAAGGUCUGGUAAGUGGGGAUGCCAGAAAUGUUUGAUCUCCUUCCAAGCCUUGAAACAACUUGCUUAUUUUUUCUGCAGUUUGGCCCCUCACUAAAAUAAAACAUUGAGAGAUGAA